rnacentral:rRNA from 1 species
GACGUAGGUGACGAACGUUAUCCGGAAUUAUUGGGCGUAAAGGGUGCGUAGAUGGCCUGAUAAGUUAGCAGUGGGAAAUCGAGGCUCAACCUCGUGGAAGCUGGUAAUACUGUCAGGCCCGAGUGCAGGAGAGGUUAACGGAACUCCAUGUGGAGCGGUAAAAUGUGUAGAUAUAUGGAAGAACACCAAUAACGGCGAAGGCAGUUAACUAUUCUGUUACUGACAUUGAGGCACGAAAGCGUGGGGAGCAAAACGG